AGUGAACGCUGGCGGUAGGCCUAACACAUGCAAGUCGAACGGCAGCACAGUAAGAGCCUGCUCUUACGGGUGGCGAGUGGCGGACGGGUGAGGAAUACAUCGGAAUCUACUUUUUCGUGGGGGAUAACGUAGGGAAACUUACGCUAAUACCGCAUACGACCUACGGGUGAAAGUAGGGGAUCUUCGGACCUUGCGCGAUUGAAUGAGCCGAUGUCGGAUUAGCUAGUUGGCGGGGUAAAGGCCCACCAAGGCGACGAUCCGUAGCUGGUCUGAGAGGAUGAUCAGCCACACUGGAACUGAGACACGGUCCAGACUCCUACGGGAGGCAGCAGUGGGGAAUAUUGGACAAUGGGCGCAAGCCUGAUCCAGCCAUACCGCGUGGGUGAAGAAGGCCUUCGGGUUGUAAAGCCCUUUUGUUGGGAAAGAAAAGCAGCAGGUUAAUACCCCGCUGUUCUGACGGUACCCAAAGAAUAAGCACCGGCUAACUUCGUG
rnacentral:rRNA from 1 species